rnacentral:lncRNA from 1 species
GAAGUGUAUUUAAGUAAACUACAUCUCAAGCUGUACUUAGAGUGUACUUAUAAAGAUUAUACAAAGUUAUAAAUAAGUGGUAUUUUAGUGUACUUAUGUAAAGUACACUUAUUUUCAAGUCCUGUGUACUACACUACUAAAAUGUUUUAUUAAAGUGUACUAAAAUUCACUUCAUUAGCAGUGGCUGACCCUGACCACCAUCGUGGGUCUAGGCUGCCCCGGUUGGCUGCCCCAGCCGCUGGCGCCAGCGACAGGAUCGUCCUCCGCCCCCCUACUGAGGCCAAGCCCCCGGGCCUUAACCCCCGCUACCCUCGUGGGUCUAGGCUGCCCCGGUUGGCUGCCCCAGCUGGUGGCGCCAACGAGAGGAUCGUCCUCCGCCCCCCUACUGAGGCCAAGCCCCCGGGCCUUAACCCCCGCUACCCUCGUGGGGCUAGGCUGCCCCGGUUGGCUGUGGCUGAGGAGGCUGAUGGCCAGGAAGCCUGGAUCACGGCGGCCCACUCCGACACCGUGUCCCCCCGUGCACGGGCUCUGGGUGCCGCCUCGAGCCAGGAGACUUCCCCGGGCCAAACCCCCCCAGAAGUGGCUGACCCUGACCACCCUCGUGGGACUAGGCUGCCCCGGUUGGCUGCCCCAGCCGCUGGCGCCAACGAGAGGAUCGUCCUCCGCCCUACUGAGGCCAAGCCCCCACAUAGACCCCCAGUGUCCUUCACAGUGGAUCUGCGGGACGCCCAGCUGAGCUCCGCCCCCUCUUCCCGGAACGCCACUGCCUCCGCCCGCCGCCGGGCGCUCGGAGGCGCCGAGGCGGACCUCCCUGGGAGGGAGUGCUCCCAGUCCGCCAACGGCCAGAGGUCCCAGGCCCCAGGCAGCCCGCCGGCCUCUGAGGUUCCUGAAGGCGUGGCGGGCAGAGGUAAGUGCGCGUUCAGCCCGUUUCCCCCUGUGCAGGAGCGUCUGAGGAACGGCAGGAUCCCCCGGGAGAAGCUCCGGGGCCCGUCCCCCCACCAGGCAGGGGAAGAGGCCGGGCCCUCUGGGAAGCGGCAGAAGAACGGGGGCCGCUGUUUCCCCAACCAGAGGCUGACCGCUGAGCCCGAGCUGGAGGAGAAGCUGUUGGAUAGCAGAGAUGAGCCGUCCCAGGGCUCCCUCAGCGGCCCCCAGCGAGACCCACCAGAGCCCCCCGGGCCCCACCCCUUCCCCAAACCUGAGCUGGCCAUGACACAGAGCCUCACUCUCAUCAGCUCAGAGAACUGGUGA